GUUAAAGAACGCAGCUUUCGUCCAUAUAAGCGAAAAUUUUCGACAAUUUCCUUAAUCCUCAGGGCGCUUCUUGUUCCAUUGAGGUGCGGCAUCCUCAUCUUCAACCUCAUCGUCUUGGUGACUGUGCUCAUUGUCUGGGCCAUUCUCUAGCCAAGCAAGCCCGGAUUUAUAAAAAAAUAGAUCACAGCGGCGAAUCUGGACAGGGGAGCAUUACGCUGCAUCGCUUUCAAGUGGCUGAGCUGGACUACCCUGGGCGUCUUCCCUCUUCCCCUCUCUCUAUCCAGAGUUGUAACUUUUUUUAUGAAAAAAUAGAUCUUUUUUCAUGUUGUUGAAGAUGAUCCAAUAUCUGAUUUUGGAUUCUUUGUUUUUUAUUUGCAUGUUGAGGGAGGAGCUCGAGGAGAGAGGGAUUUGGCGAGGGGUUGUCAAACGACUUCGGUGCUCCUUGGCUGAUCACAACGGCGGAUCUGGGGCCUGGGCUGGGGGGCACGACGCUACGUCACUUUUAGGUGGCUGGGCAGGAUUAUCCUGGCCAGUGAUUUGACUCACGAAGGAGCUACGGAUAGGCACCGCACCUCAUGGACGAGUGGCCCUCGAUCGAUGGCAACCACAAAGCUUGGAGGUUGGGUACGGUGCCAUGGAGAACCAUAGAGAGAGACAGCCAUGGUUGAAGAGAGAGAGAACCAUAGACGAUCUGGUUUUUGAAUUAUCGGCACUAUAUAUAGCCUUAAUUGAUCAGAGAAUUCAUGAUUUCAUCUUGCAUCUCAAUUAAAAUCAAGAAAUAGUGCCCGCUUUAAUUAUGCUAGCUAGCUUUAAUAUUUAAGAAACUAUAUUUGCUGUCGUUUCUUUUCUUAAUUGCUCCUCUUUAAUAUCA